rnacentral:rRNA from 1 species
CGGCAGCACGGGUGCUUGCACCUGGUGGCGAGUGGCGAACGGGUGAGUAAUGCGUCGGAACGUACCGAGUAGUGGGGGAUAACGCAGCGAAAGUUGUGCUAAUACCGCAUAUUCUGUGAGCAGGAAAGCGGGGGAUCUUCGGACCUCGCGCUAUUCGAGCGGCCGACGUCUGAUUAGCUAGUUGGUGGGGUAAUGGCUCACCAAGGCGACGAUCAGUAGCGGGUCUGAGAGGAUGAUCCGCCACACUGGGACUGAGACACGGCCCAGACUCCUACGGGAGGCAGCAGUGGGGAAUUUUGGACAAUGGGCGAAAGCCUGAUCCAGCCAUGCCGCGUGUCUGAAGAAGGCCUUCGGGUUGUAAAGGACUUUUGUCAGGGAGGAAAUCCCCAGGGCUAAUACCCUUGGGGGAUGACAGUACCUGAAGAAUAAGCACCGGCUAACUAC